AGAUCAACAGUGUAAGAAAACCCUGUUGUGCUUUUAUUUCAAUGUUUGAUUUAUAGAAAAGCUGAAUAAUUAAAUAAUAUCCCUUUAAUUUUGACCAAUAAGUUCACACACAGAAUUUUUACAAGAUUAAUCUUUCACAAACCUUCCAUAACUUGGCCAAAACUUCAGCUUUAUUCUACCUAACAUAAAGCCAUCCUUUAAUCCUCUAAACCGGAACAAAAAACCCCACAUUCCCAUGCCUUCUUAUAAUUUUUUACCGGAAACAUAUUCUACUUUCCUUACACACCUUGCAUGUAAAACCGUUUCUUCAGUAGUCUUGAUUACAUGUGUUAGAAUGUUAUCUCUUAGCAACUUUUAUUUUUGGUGAAAAACCUGGUAAGUAAGCAAUUUUAAUUAUGUAGCAGAUGUGGAACCUAGGAUACCAGACAGAAGUGAAGAUAAGGUCCAACUCUUCCCAGCAUAGCUAGGGAGCAUGGCUAACUCCAUAUGUCCCCAAGUCUUCCCUAAAAUCUAAUGGCUCCAAAGCAGGUAAGUUGAACAAUUUUCAAAGUCAAAGAAGCAAUUUAUGACCUUAAAGCAUUUAGCAGUACUUGCUUUGGCAGCACAAUACUAAAAUUGGAAAGAUACAGAGAAGAUUACCAGGCCCCUGUGGAAGGAUGACACACAAAUUCAUGAAGUAUUUUAUAUUAAAAAAUAAAGCAUUUAGCAAACCUAAUAUCUUACUCGCCUUUUUUAGACCAAAUGUCUUCAUCUUGAAGAUAUUUUAAUUUACCAAUAAUCUUUAAAACUGUCUUUUUUCCAAAAUUACUAAACUCAUGUGAACUAAAGGGCAUUAAAAUUGUUAUUUUUCUGACAGAAUAUUUAUUUAUGCAUUUAUUAUUUUUAAGCCGAUUAAUCAGAGCUCUUUAAUGUAUUUUGGUAGUGAAACAUCGCACACAACACAUAAAUACAGCUGAACAGACAGAAGAAGAUCCAGUAGUUUUAAGAGUUUUUCAUUUGCCAGUUUUUAAGUGUCUUAAUUGUUUUACUGGCUUUAGAGUGGAGCCCUUUGAGAAUAGGGCCAGGAAAGCAUGCAGUUUUUAGGGCUUAAGAAGCAGCACAGUUGGAAGGCAAAAUAGACCCCCAAAAUUAAGAGUCUCUCUUUUUUUUUUUUUUGAGAUGAAGUUUCCCUUUUGUCCCCCAGGCUAGAGUGCAAUGGCGCGAUCUUGGGUCACUGCAACCUCGGCCUCCCGGGUUCAAGCGAUUCUCCUGCCUCAGCCUCCCAAGUAGCUGGGAUUACAGGUGCCUGCCACCAUGCCCAGCUAAUUUUUAUAUUUUUAGUAGAGACGGGCUUUCACCAUGUUGGCCAGGAUGGUCUCCAACUCCUGACCUCAGGUGAUCCGCCUGCCUCAGCCUCCCAAAGUGCUGGGAUUACAGGUGUGAGCCACUGCGCCCCAGCUGUUUUUUUUUUUUUUUUUUUUUUUUUGAGAGAGUCUCGCUCUGUCACCAGGCUGGAGUGCAGUGGCGCAAUCUCGGCUCACUGCAACCUCUGCCUCCCACGUUCAAGUGAUUCUUCUGCCUCAGCCUCCCAAGUAGCUGGGACUACAGGCGCGCACCAGCAUGCCCAGCUAAUUUUUGUAUUUUUAGUAGAGACGGGGUUUCACCAUGUUGGCCAGGAUGGUCUCCAUCUCUUGACCUCAUGAUGUGCCCACCUCGGCCUCCCAAAGUGCUGAGAUUACAGGUGUGAGCCACCGCACCCAGCAAGAGUCUCAUUUUUAUACUGAAAGCAAGUUUGUUAGAGAAGUAAAGAAACAAAAGAAUGGCUACUCCAUAGGCGGAGCAGCCCUGAAGGCUGCUGCUUGGCUAUUUUUAUGGUUAUUUCUUGAUCAUAUGCUAAACAAGGGGUGGAUUAUUCAUUAGUUUUCCAGGAAGGGGGUGGAGAUUUCCUAGAACUGAGAGUUCCUUUUACUUUUAUUAUUUUUUUGAGAGGGAGUCUUGCUCUGUCGCUCAGUUUGGAGUGCAAUGGCACAGUCUAGGCUCACUGCAACCUCCGCCUCCCGGGUUCAAGUGAUUCUCCUG
rnacentral:lncRNA from 1 species